rnacentral:rRNA from 1 species
AGUGAACGCUGGCGGUAGGCCUAACACAUGCAAGUCGAACGGCAGCACAGUAAGAGCUUGCUCUUACGGGUGGCGAGUGGCGGACGGGUGAGGAAUACAUCGGAAUCUACUUUUUCGUGGGGGAUAACGUAGGGAAACUUACGCUAAUACCGCAUACGACCUACGGGUGAAAGCAGGGGAUCUUCGGACCUUGCGCGAUUGAAUGAGCCGAUGUCGGAUUAGCUAGUUGGCGGGGUAAAGGCCCACCAAGGCGAUGAUCCGUAGCUGGUCUGAGAGGAUGGUCAGCCACACUGGAACUGAGACACGGUCCAGACUCCUACGGGAGGAAGCAGUGGGGAAUAUUGGACGAUGGGCGCAAGCCUGAUCCAGCCAUACCGCGUGGGUGAAGAAGGCCUUCGGGUUGUAAAGCCCUUUUGUUGGGAGAGAAAAGCAGCAGGUUAAUACCCCGCUGUUCUGACGGUACCCAAAGAAUAAGCACCGGCUAACUUCGUG